GGGGGUGUAGCUCAUCUGGUAGAGCGCGUGCUUAGCAUUUCCGCCCCGACGAGUCAUUGUUCAGGUUUACAUGUUACCUGCACGAGGUACUGGGUUCGACUCCCAGCUCCUCCA